AUGGGGAAUGUGAACUGUUUGACCAACAAGACGGACGAGCUGGCUGCCCUUGUGAGGACGGACAAGACGUUCAGGGAGUGCAGCUUACUUUGCCUCUCUGAAACCUGGCUAACCCAGAACAUCCCGGACGCUAAUGUGGAUCUACCUGGAUUCACCACAGUGAGAGCGGACCGAGACUGUGGACGCAGCGGCAAAAGCAAAGGAGGGGGACUCGCGCUGUUUAUCAACAACAGAUGGUGUAACCAGGGGCAUGUUACGGUGAAGGAAAUCGUGUGCGACCGAGACAUCGAGCUGCUUGCGGUAGGUCUCAGACCGUACUACAUACCAAGAGAGUUCUCCCACGCCAUCGCUGUUGUUGUUUACAUCCCUCCGCGGGCGCACGCAGAGACCGCGUGUGACGUCAUACAUUCAACAAUCGCGAGACUGCAAACACAACACCCAGACGCAUUCAUCGCUGUCUCCGGGGAUUUCGACCAUGUGAUACUGGACUCCACAUUGCCAGACUUUCACCAGUUUGUAAGCUGCCCCACCAGGAAGAACAGGACAUUAGACCUCCUGUAUGCCAACGUGAGGGAAGCUUACACUGCCACUCCUCUGCCCCCACUGGGAAAGUCUGACCAUAACCUGGUCCUGCUCUUGCCACAGUACAAAGCACAGAUCCAGAGACAGUCUACGACCAAACGCUCCUUCAGGAAAUGGUCUCCUGAAGCAGCAGAGGCUCUGAGGGACUGCUUUGAAUGUACUGACUGGAGCGUGCUGCAGGGAGCACAUGGUGAGGACAUAGAGGGGGUCACACACUGCACUACUGACUACCUGAACUUCUGUAUGGACGUUGUGGUCCCUAUCAAAACAGUACGCUGCUUCCCCAACAACAAGCCCUGGAUCACCAGUAAUGUCAAGGACAUCCUGAACAGGAAGAAGAGGGCAUUCAAGGAAGGUGACAGAGACGAGCUGAAGCGCAUACAGGUGGAACUCAAGGUCCAACUGAGAGAGGCGAAGGAGGAAUACAGAAGGAAGGUAGAACAGAAGCUGCAGCAUAACAACAUGAGGGAGGUCUGGGAUGGCAUGAAAACCAUCACAGGCUGCAAGAAGAAGGGCAGCAUCACAGGAGAGGGGGAUGCUGGAAGAGCAAACCAGCUAAACCUGUUUUUUAACAGGUUUGACACUCCAGCUCCCACAACCAGCGAUGGUCCACUUCACACCCACACCAUGUCCAUCACCUCCCCCAAUUCCACCACCUCAGACUGCAGACCACCCCCACCCCCACCCUCCACACCCAUGGACAGUUCAACCCCCCUCCCCACCACCAUCACCAAGGAUCAGGGGUCUCAUUUAUAA
rnacentral:lncRNA from 1 species